UUCUGUAUAAUUUAUUUAUCUUUCCAAUGCAUUUAAUAAUUUAAUUAUAACAGCACAUAUUAACUGUUGGUGGACAUAAGUUGAAGGAAAUGACAGUAUAGAAUUGUUCGAUACACGUACGAACUAUGGCAUUAGGACCGAAAUUGAUUACUAACCAUAGAAGAUUAUCGUUAAUUACGACCAAGAGUAUGUCUCCUAUGGUUGGUAAUUAAUGUUGGUCCUAAGUCUGGUCGUAAUCAUGAACUAAGAAGAUAUGGACUGGUCACGUGUACCCAAACACCGGCCAGGAAAUGUUAUGGGUACAAAACUAUGCGACAGUAACGCACUCGAGCGGAGUACAUAUACAAGUUGACAGUAUUAUUUAUAUUAUUUGAAUCUUGAAUCUUAUGAUUCAACAAGUACAUUGUAUUUAUUAAUGUAGUAUUUUGAUUCUUAGAGAAGUUGUUGGCGGCAAAGAAUUCCUCUCUUUAUCAUCAGAACAAGUGGUUAAGUUGAUCUCCAUUGAAAGACAUCCAGUAUCAUCUGAAGAAAUAGUAGGCUAGGUAUUUGAAUGUGUAAUUCGUUGGGUAAUAUAUGAUUUGGGUUCGAGAAGAUGCAUUUUACCCCAAUUGCUGGAGUAUGUAUAGGAUUACUAUAAUUAACAUCGAAGGAUUACAUAUUAAAAAAAAGUAGUUGAGGAACCUCUUAUUAAUAAUUGUCUCAAAUGUUAUAAUUAUGCAUCUGAAUAUGUAUUAAAUACACUCAAAUCAGAAGAACUUUUUCCACAAAGCACCAGGAAUAAACCCAGACAUGUAGAAAAAGUAUGAUUCUGUAUAAUUUAUUUAUCUUUCCAAUGCAUUUAAUAAUUUAAUUAUAACAGCACAUAUUAACUGUUGGUGGACAUAAGUUGAAGGAAAUGACAGUAUAGAAUUGUUCGAUACACGUACGAACUAUGGCAUUAGGACCGAAAUUGAUUACUAACCAUAGAAGAUUAUCGUUAAUUACGACCAAGAGUAUGUCUCCUAUGGUUGGUAAUUAAUGUUGGUCCUAAGUCUGGUCGUAAUCAUGAACUAAGAAGAUAUGGACUGGUCACGUGUACCCAAACACCGGCCAGGAAAUGUUAUGGGUACAAAACUAUGCGACAGUAACGCACUCGAGCGGAGUACAUAUACAAGUUGACAGUAUUAUUUAUAUUAUUUGAAUCUUGAAUCUUAUGAUUCAACAAGUACAUUGUAUUUAUUAAUGUAGUAUUUUGAUUCUUAGAGAAGUUGUUGGCGGCAAAGAAUUCCUCUCUUUAUCAUCAGAACAAGUGGUUAAGUUGAUCUCCAUUGAAAGACUUCCAGUAUCAUCUGAAGAAAUAGUAGGCUAGGUAUUUGAAUGUGUAAUUCGUUGGGUAACAUAUGAUUUGGGUUCGAGAAGAUGCAUUUUACCCCAAUUGCUGGAGCAUUUAUAGGAUUACUAUAAUUAACAUUGAAGGAUUACAUAUUAAAAAAAAGUAGUUGAGGAACCUCUUAUUAAUAAUUGUCUCAAAUGUUAUAAUUAUGCAUCUGAAUAUGUAUUAAAUACACUUAAAUCAGAAGAACUUUUUCCACAAAGCACCAGGAAUAAACCCAGACAUGGAGAAAAACACAUAUUAACUGUUGGUGGACAUAAGUUGAAGGAAAUGACAGUAUAGUAUUGUUCGAUACACGUACGAACUAUGGCAUUAGGACCGAAAUUGAUUACUAACCAUAGAAGAUUAUCGUUAAUUACGACAAAGAGUAUGUCUCCUAUGGUUGGUAAUUAAUGUUGGUCCUAAGUCUGGUCGUAAUCAUGAACUAAGAAGAUAUGGACUGGUCACGUGUACCCAAACACCGGCCAGGAAAUGUUAUGGGUACAAAACUAUACGACAGUAACGCACUCGAGCGGAGUACAUAUACAAGUUGACAGUAUUAUUUAUAUUAUUUGAAUCUUGAAUCUUAUGAUUCAACAAGUACAUUGUAUUUAUUAAUGUAGUAUUUUGAUUCUUAGAGAAGUUGUUGGCGGCAAAGAAUUCCUCUCUUUAUCAUCAGAACAAGUGGUUAAGUUGAUCUCCAUUGAAAGACUUCCAGUAUCAUCUGAAGAAAUAGUAGGCUAGGUAUUUGAAUGUGUAAUUCGUUGGGUAACAUAUGAUUUGGGUUCGAGAAGAUGCAUUUUACCCCAAUUGCUGGAGUAUGUAUAGGAUUACUAUAAUUAACAUCGAAGGAUUACAUAUUAAAAAAAAGUAGUUGAGGAACCUCUUAUUAAUAAUUGUCUCAAAUGUUAUAAUUAUGCAUCUGAAUAUGUAUUAAAUACACUUAAAUCAGAAGAACUUUUUCCACAAAGCACCAGGAAUAAACCCAGACAUGGAGAAAAACACAUAUUAACUGUUGGUGGACAUAAGUUGAAGGAAAUGACAGUAUAGAAUUGUUCGAUACACGUACGAACUAUGGCAUUAGGACCGAAAUUGAUUACUAACCAUAGAAGAUUAUCGUUAAUUACGACAAAGAGUAUGUCUCCUAUGGUUGGUAAUUAAUGUUGGUCCUAAGUCUGGUCGUAAUCAUGAACUAAGAAGAUAUGGACUGGUCACGUGUACCCAAACACCGGCCAGGAAAUGUUAUGGGUACAAAACUAUACGACAGUAACGCACUCGAGCGGAGUACAUAUACAAGUUGACAAGAAGUUGUUGGCGGCAAAGAAUUCCUCUCUUUAUCAUCAGAACAAGUGGUUAAGUUGAUCUCCAUUGAAAGACUUCCAGUAUCAUCUGAAGAAAUAGUAGGCUAGGUAACUAAAAUUGAUUAUUGUUAUAUUUUAUUAUUGAUGAAGGAAAAGUUCAGUAACCCUUUAAUAUGUAAUAUUAAGUAGUCUAAUUAAUUUAUGAG
rnacentral:lncRNA from 1 species